rnacentral:ribozyme from 1 species
AAAAACUGGCAUGCGAGACAGUCGAGAAUCGAACAGAAACGAUCAGUGUUUCAGGUGCCAGAGGACCUCGAUCGUUCCAUCGAGC